UCCCCGCACGGGUCGUGGGGCAGACGGCCUGCUCCAGGAGCACCGCCCGCACGCGCUCCCCGGGGCCACGGCGCUGGCCGAGCCCGGGACGGGGACGGGGACGGGGCCGGGGACCGGGACCGGGACCGGGACCGGGAGGGAAGGGGCGGGGAGGGGAGGGGGCCGCCAAGCCAGCACCGCAGGGCACCAACAGGUGGGCAGCCCGGCGGCCCCGAGAAGCGCCCAGGAGGACGCGCAGGGCGUCCUCGGGCUUCAGGCCGUCGAUCGGGGCUAAUUCCCCUCCGGGGGCCCCGCGAACAGCCCCGGCCGCCGGCCCCAGCCCCGCGCGUGCCCCGCACAGCCGCGCGCCCAGCGGCAGCCUCACCUCGCGCGGCCCCCACUCGGCGGAGCCUCCGGAGCCAGUGGAUACGAGACGGGGCCGCUCCCGGUCUCGCGGAGCUCGGAGCACGCCGGGCUCCCUCGCAGGAGCCUCUGCCCCGGUGCGCUGCCUCCCGGCUGGCGGCGGGCGGGGCGGCCGCUAGAGAAAGCGCGCCGCCGAAUCCCGCCUGCGCCGCGGCCGCCCGGCUCCCCGGGCCACGCCCCCGCCCGCCCGGGCCACGCCCCCGCCCGCCCGGGCCACGCCCCCGCCCGCCCGGGCCACGCCCCCGGCCCGGCUCUCGGGCCACGCCCAAGCCACGCCCCCAGCCCGCCUCUCCCUCUAUCCCCCGCUCCGGAGCGCUCGCCACCCCCAGGCCACGCCCCCGGCCCGGAGCGCGGUCCGCUCAGGCCACGCCCCCGACCGGGCGCUCCCUCCACGCCCCGGGCCCUGCCACGCCCCCCGCCCCGCGACCCCACAGAGGCCGUCGGUGCCAACAGCCCUGCUGCCCCAUCACCCUCCCAGCCACUUCCAACCCCCUACGGCGUCCCCCAACUCCCAUCAGGAUGUCCCCCCAGCCACGCCCCUGGCCCUGCUACACUUCCCCCACUCCCUCUCUUCUUGCCCUCAGCUACACCCCCAGCGACCACCCCACACCACUACCCCCGGCCCGAACCCCCUUAGCCGGGCUCUCCCCCUCCCCCCACCACCACCCCAGUCUCACUAGCCCAGGGUGGGAGGAGCCGCCGCGUCGCCCAGGCAACUCCCCGCCACCCCACCACCACCAGUCCACUCACUCUCCCCCACCUCGCCCGGGCCUGGAGGUCACUUUAGAAGAAGGAACCCAAGCUGUGCGCAUUUCUGAGCAAAGGAAAUAUUAG
rnacentral:lncRNA from 1 species